rnacentral:rRNA from 1 species
UACAGAGGUCCCAAGCGUUGUUCGGAUUUCAUUUGGGCGUAAAGGGUGCGUAGGCGGCGCGGUAAGUCGGGUGUGAAAUCUUGGAGCUUUAACUCCGAAACUGCAUUUCGAUACUGCCGUGCUUUGAGGACUGGAGAGGAGACUGGAAUUUACGGUGUAGCGGUGAAAUGCGUAGAUAUCGUAAGGAAGACCAGUGGCGAAGGCGGGUCUCUGGACAGUUCCUGACGCUGAGGCACGAAGGCCAGGGGAGCAAACGGG